GAUGAACGCUGGCGGCGUGCCUAAUACAUGCAAGUCGAGCGAACAGACGAGGAGCUUGCUCCUCUGACGUUAGCGGCGGACGGGUGAGUAACACGUGGAUAACCUACCUAUAAGACUGGGAUAACUUCGGGAAACCGGAGCUAAUACCGGAUAAUAUAUUGAACCGCAUGGUUCAAUAGUGAAAGACGGUUUUGCUGUCACUUAUAGAUGGAUCCGCGCCACAUUAGCUAGUUGGUAAGGUAACGGCUUACCAAGGCAACGAUGCGUAGCCGACCUGAGAGGGUGAUCGGCCACACUGGAACUGAGACACGGUCCAGACUCCUACGGGAGGCAGCAGUAGGGAAUCUUCCGCAAUGGGCGAAAGCUUGACGGAGCAACGCCGCGUGAGUGAUGAAGGUCUUCGGAUCGUAAAACUCUGUUAUUAGGGAAGAACAAAUGUGUAAGUAACUAUGCACGUCUUGACGGUACCUAAUCAGAAAGCCACGGCUAACUACGU
rnacentral:rRNA from 1 species